rnacentral:rRNA from 1 species
UACGUAGGGGGCGAGCGUUGUUCGGAAUUACUGGGCGUAAAGGGCGCGUAGGCGGCACGGCAAGUCGGGAGUGAAAGGCCUGGGCUCAACCGAGGAACUGCUUUCGAGACUGCCGAGCUAGAGUGCGGAAGGGGCAACUGGAAUUCCCAGUGUAGCGGUGAAAUGCGUAGAUAUUGGGAAGAACACCUGAGGCGAAGGCGGGUUGCUGGGCCGACACUGACGCUGAGGCGCGAAAGCCAGGGGAGCAAACGGG